GAUGAACGCUAGCGGCAGGCCUAAUACAUGCAAGUCGAACGGUGUCUUCGGACAUAGUGGCGCACGGGUGCGUAACACGUAUGCAACCUACCUUACAUUGGGGGAUAGCCUUUCGAAAGGGAGAUUAAUACCGCAUAAGACAGUAGCUGGGCAUCCAGCAGCUGUUAAAGAUUUAUCGAUGUAAGAUGGGCAUGCGUCCAAUUAGUUAGUUGGCGAGGUAACGGCUCACCAAGACUUUGAUUGGUAGGGGAACUGAGAGGUCAAUCCCCCACACUGGCACUGAGAUACGGGCCAGACUCCUGCGGGAGGCAGCAGUAGGGAAUAUUGGGCAAAGGACGCAAGUCUGACCCAGCAAUGCCGCGUGCAGGAUGAAGGCGUUAUGCGUUGUAAACUGCUUUUAUACAGGAAGAAACGACUCUUGCGAGAGGCAUUGACGGUACUGUAUGAAUAAGCACCGGCUAACUCCGUGCCAGCCGCCGCAGUAAGAC
rnacentral:rRNA from 1 species